GCCUUUCGGGGUGGAUUAGUGGCGAACGGGUGAGUAACACGUGGGCAAUCUGCCCUUCACUCUGGGACAAGCCCUGGAAACGGGGUCUAAUACCGGAUAACACUCUGUCCCGCAUGGGACGGGGUUAAAAGCUCCGGCGGUGAAGGAUGAGCCCGCGGCCUAUCAGCUUGUUGGUGGGGUAAUGGCCUACCAAGGCGACGACGGGUAGCCGGCCUGAGAGGGCGACCGGCCACACUGGGACUGAGACACGGCCCAGACUCCUACGGGAGGCAGCAGUGGGGAAUAUUGCACAAUGGGCGAAAGCCUGAUGCAGCGACGCCGCGUGAGGGAUGACGGCCUUCGGGUUGUAAACCUCUUUCAGCAGGGAAGAAGCGAAAGUGACGGUACCUGCAGAAGAAGCGCCGGCUAACUACGUGCCAGCAGCCGCGGUAAUACGUAGGGCGCAAGCGUUGUCCGGAAUUAUUGGGCGUAAAGAGCUCGUAGGCGGCUUGUCACGUCGGAUGUGAAAGCCCGGGGCUUAACCCCGGGUCUGCAUUCGAUACGGGCUAGCUAGAGUGUGGUAGGGGAGAUCGGAAUUCCUGGUGUAGCGGUGAAAUGCGCAGAUAUCAGGAGGAACACCGGUGGCGAAGGCGGAUCUCUGGGCCAUUACUGACGCUGAGGAGCGAAAGCGUGGGGAGCGAACAGGAUUAGAUACCCUGGUAGUCCACGCCGU
rnacentral:rRNA from 1 species